UACGUAGGGCGCAAGCGUUGUCCGGAAUUAUUGGGCGUAAAGAGCUCGUAGGCGGUUUGUCACGUCGGCUGUGAAAACCCGAGGCUCAACCUCGGGCCUGCAGUCGAUACGGGCAGACUAGAGUGCUGUAGGGGAGACUGGAAUUCCUGGUGUAGCGGUGAAAUGCGCAGAUAUCAGGAAGAACACCUAUGGCGAAGGCAGCUCUCUGGGACGGUACUGGACGCUGAGACGCGAAAGCGUGGGGAGCGAACAGG
rnacentral:rRNA from 1 species